CCUACGGGGGGCAGCAGUGGGGAAUAUUGCACAAUGGGCGCAAGCCUGAUGCAGCCAUGCCGCGUGUGUGAAGAAGGCCUUCGGGUUGUAAAGCACUUUCAGCGGGGAGGAUGGCGGUGAGGUUAAUAACCUCAUCGAUUGACGUUACCCGCAGAAGAAGCACCGGCUAACUCCGUGCCAGCAGCCGCGGUAAUACGGAGGGUGCAAGCGUUAAUCGGAAUUACUGGGCGUAAAGCGCACGCAGGCGGUCUGUCAAGUCGGAUGUGAAAUCCCCGGGCUCAACCUGGGAACUGCAUUCGAAACUGGCAGGCUAGAGUCUUGUAGAGGGGGGUAGAAUUCCAGGUGUAGCGGUGAAAUGCGUAGAGAUCUGGAGGAAUACCGGUGGCGAAGGCGGCCCCCUGGACAAAGACUGACGCUCAGGUGCGAAAGCGUGGGGAGCAAACAGGAUUAGAUACCCCAGUAGUC
rnacentral:rRNA from 1 species